UACGAAGGGGGCUAGCGUUGCUCGGAAUCAUUGGGCGUAAAGCGCGUGUAGGCGGCUCGGUAAGUCCGCUCUGAAAGCCCGGGGCUCAACCCCGGGAGGCGGGUGGAUACUGCUGAGCUCGAGUCCGGAAGAGGAGUGUGGAAUUCCUGGUGUAGCGGUGAAAUGCGCAGAUAUCAGGAAGAACACCCGUGGCUAAGGCGGCUCUCUAGUACGGUACUGACGCUGAGACGCGAAAGCGUGGGGAGCGAACAGG
rnacentral:rRNA from 1 species